GCAGUCACUCACAAGCACAGCAUGGGGUAGAGUUGAAUUUUCACAAGGAAUCUGCUUUAGCAUUGGUCUUCACCUAGUGUGCUUAGACCCCCAAGUGAGGCAGUGUUUUGCAGUGACCUAAGGCUGUUGGGCCAGUAGUACUAUCAGCAUUAAUUUGAUAUCUUAGCACCUGGAAGGGAAUUAGCUUGCAGUUUCUAUCUUAGACUCAGUCUAGAUGUGGCUAAAGACUGGAAGGUGGUGACUAAACACAGAUCUUGUGCCUUUCAUCCUUGGACAGGGUUUUGGCAAGGCAUAGCUUUUCAUACAGUUGGCGGUGGUGGAGAAAGGCUGCAUCCACUGGAGUGUUAAAGGGACAGGAACUUUUACAUCUGCUCACUGCUGAGAUGGAGAAAGGUGGUCACAUAUAUGACAACAAAUUUAAAGCUGAGCCUUUGUAGCACUAAAUGGAGAUCCAGAGUCUGAAAAGGAUAAAGACUACUGCUCUGAAGGGUGGCAUGUGUGCCCUACUUUACAGAAAGCAGUCCUUUGUUUGAAGGAGCCCUCUGAAGAGACGGUUUCAAGUCAGUUUACAGAUAAAGAACUAUAAGAAAGGAAAGCUGGAGCCUUGAAGUUGGCCUUAAACAGUUA